rnacentral:lncRNA from 1 species
GGGGUGCCGGGGCGGGCGGGGGCCUAUUGUUCCGGCCUAUUGUUCUGGUCUAUUGUUCCAGCCUAUUGUUCCGGCCUAUUGUUCUGCUGCGGCUGGUGGGGAAGUGCCGCGUGGCCUGGCACGAAACCUCGGCUCGGCUCGGCUCCGUGCGGCCGGCUCCCACCUCCAGGAGCCGCCUCGGGCUUCCUGCCCCCGGAGCAGCUGGUGCCCCCGGAGCUGCUCCCUCCGGCGCCGCGGGAAUCGGGCUGCGGCCGGCUGCCCCGCGCAGCGUGUGUGGCGGGGACACGUGGCGGGGACGUCCCGUGGGGACGCAGCCUCCCUCGCCGUCUCCCGGAGGCGUCAACUGCCCGGGUGCUCGGAGACCUCCUAUUUUGCAUAUAUUGGCUUGUUUUGGUGUUUUCGGGGAGGCCGUGGGGCUGGGGGGGCGCCGUGGGGCCAGCGUGCACACGAAACACGGACAAGAGGCCACCGCGAGGGCCGCGCCGGCACCGGGCCUGGGGGUUUGGUCUCCGCUUCUUGCUUCCCUGCCGGCCGCUGCGGUGCCGGGCUGCUGGGCGGCCGGAGCUGGGAGCAAGUGCAGCCCUCUGUCCUUAGGUGAGUGCAACGCUUAAUAACCUUAAAAAAUAAUAAUGAUACAUUAAAAAAAA